AAUAUUGGACAUUGGGCGAAAGCCUGACCUAGCCAUGCCGCGUGUGUGAAGAAGGUCUUCGGAUUGUAAAUAACUUUAAGUUAGGAGGAAGGGGUUGAAGCUAAUACCUUCAAUCUUUGACGUUACCAACUGAAUAAGCACCGGCUAACUCUUUGCCCGCUGCCGCGGUAAUACAGAGGGUGCAAGCGUUAAUCGGAAUUACUGGUGGUAAAGCGCGCGUAGGUGGUUCGAUAAGUUGGAAGUGAAAGCACAGGGCGUAACCUGGGAAUUGCUUUUAAAACUGACGAGCUAGAGUACGGUAGAGGGUAGUGGAAUUGCCUGUGUAGCGGUGAAAUGCGUAGAUAGAGGAAGGAACAUGAGUGGCGAAGGCGACUACCUGGACUGAUACUGACACUGAGGUGCGAAAGCGUGGGUAGCAAACAGG
rnacentral:rRNA from 1 species